rnacentral:rRNA from 1 species
GACGUAGGGCGCGAGCGUUUGUCCGGAUUUAUUGGGCGUAAAGAGCUCGUAGGCGGCUUGUCGCGUCGACUGUGAAAUCCCGCGGCUCAACUGCGGGUCUGCAGUCGAUACGGGCAGGCUAGAGUUCGGUAGGGGAGACUGGAAUUCCUGGUGUAGCGGUGAAAUGCGUAGAUAUCUGGAGGAACACCGGUGGCGAAGGCGGCAUCCUGGACCGAGAUUGACGCUGAGGCGGCGAAAGCCAGGGGAGCAAACGGG